AGAACUUCAGUGUAUCAAGGUAGAGGUAGAUUUUUAAUAUGCUGCAUAGACAAAUUCUGCAAAGGAAAAAUGGAAAGGGUGCCCAGGAGACAGGCAGCCACGUACCUGUGAUGCGUGUCAUGCACCUCUGCAUGGCAUCCAAUCGCGCCCCCUUCUCUGGCAGGACAGGAAGGAGCCUUUGCUUCGGGGCUGCGCAUCUAAAAUUGCCAGAGUAGGACAGCACAUAUUUGCAGGCUAACACAAGCAUUUCUGAAAGGAAAUGCAUUUGGAAACUGAGUGGUAUUGAAGCAUCUAUUUUUCUUGCUAGCAGCACAAUCUGCCACCAGGAAGGUUUUAAACACUUUCCUGACAGAGAGUGCCUGCCUGAAUUUUUUGGUAAUUAAUCAUGCAUAAUACUUUAAAUUCCACACAGGCGGCUGGCUGAAAACCCUCCAGGGAUUGCUGCAUUUGCUAUCCGAAAGUCAACUCCUAUGCCUUCGGAGAGUGAGGAAGAUCAGAGAGGGGCAUUUUUGCCUGUUUUAAUGUCGCCAUCAGUCACCAGGCAAGUCUGCAAUCUUUGCUGCAUCCUUCCAUGGUAUCGGCACAAGCAAGGCUGUAGAGGAGGAAAAUGAGCUGCAGAAGGAUCAAAUGACCUGCCUGAGGUGCCCUAUCUGUUGGCACAGGCCAGAGCACAUGGUGGAUGCAGGGGCACCCCCUUCCCUUCUCCUCCCCUCCGGCUCUUUGCUGACAGGAUUCUCUCUUGCCUUCUCUGAUGGUACCUGUGCUACGUGCCACAUCCUUUCCCUCAAUGAAUUUCAGGCAGUGGAAGGGGCCGCAGAAGUUCCUUGACUCAUGAGGCGAGGCAUUCAGCGGCCUCGUGACACCUCCCAGGAUCUGCAGUCAUUGGGCUGCACUUGCCAAUAGCAACACCUGGCAAAAAUAGCUAAGAAGCAGAGCGGCCUGGGCUCAGGAGCUGAGCAACCCCUGACUGGCCAGAUGGAGACUGUGUUGAGCUCUGCCCAAGCCCUGUGAUCCUGGAAAACAGUGAAGUUAAGGAGCCAUCUGCAUUCUAGGGAAUGGCCCACUGCAAAAAAUAGCCUUCCUUAUAGGACGUAGAGGACUCAUGAUGUCCCCUCAUUUAUGAUGAGCCAACACACAGCCCUUCCAAAUUCCGAUUCUUUGCUUCAUAACUGAUGAGCUGUUUUGUUCCCACUGGUCAAUCGGAACAACAUUCUUGCUAACCAGAUUUUGGUUCAGCUCUUCUCCCUCCCCAUGUACCUGCCCUGUGUCCUGUCCUCAUCCUGAGCCAGCACACACCCCUCCUUAGUAGCUCCUCCUGCAGCAGGCUGACCUCGGACUCUCCCUGAUCCAUUGUCCAAAUAUAUCACCCUUUCACCCUACAUCCUCACACCCCAUUCUUUCUAGUUUUGUUCAUUCCUCCCUGUGAAAGAUGAACCCUCUUUGCCUAACCCCGGACCUGCUUGCAGACUGCUAUGAUGGCCAGAGUGUCCCCCCUACUGCAAGAGUCCCUUCUGUCCCUUGCAACAUCUUUUAAAUAAAAUCUCUCUUUAC
rnacentral:lncRNA from 1 species